AGUAUAUACUCAGUGCUUUCACGUGUUCUUUAUAUGCAGCUACAAUUAACGUAUAAUAAUCGUGUGUUGUCGAUUGCUUUAUGAUUCAGAAACAUGCCGUCAUAAUAUGCAAGUUAUUUUGCAUAAAAUAAACUCUAUUGAAAUGCAUUUAAUAGAUUUCUAUAGUAAUGAACCGCAGCGAAAUAAUGAAAAUAUAUUACCACAAUUUCCGAUUGUUACAGUUCAAGAAUUAGAAAAUUUUAAUAAAUUGUUAAGAAAAGAUGCAAUAGCUCGUGCACAAUAUAAAAAAAUAAUUAAAAAUAUUGGUGGUAAAGAUGUUAAAAAACAUGUUCGACAAGCUUUGACAUUAAUAUUAAAUAAUGAAUUGUCAUGUAAAUUAUCAUGAACAGGACAGAAAAAAACUAUUAAAUUUCAGAGACUAUGAUCAAUUCCGGGCGUAAUUGUACAAUCUUUGACGUACAAGAUACAAUUCAAAAAUGGCUACAACAUGCAAGUGAUCGAGUUCGUUAUAUAGAAAAAAACACGCUCAAAUAUAAUUUUAAAAUUUUGGCAUAAAAAUU